rnacentral:misc_RNA from 1 species
GACAAUGAAAAAUUGAGGAAUAGUGUUGUAUUCAUUUUAUAAUUUAUUUUAAAGUUAUCGUUUUUAAUCUCUAAAUAAGAGAAAUCAUAUGAAAGUUUAUUUAAGAAGUGCAUAUACAUAUAACUAUUUAAUUAUGUAUAAUGUACCACACAAGUUUCAUCAAGUUUGUCGAUUGUGUCUCACGUUGGUUAAUGAGUGCGAUAUAUCCGAACUACAAAUUUAUAAUAUCCCGACACGAAACAAUAAAAAAGACAAAUUCGACCACCAUAAAAACGAAGGGAUAAAUGAACAAAAAAAGUCUUAUAAAUGUUUCUGCAAUGCUCCAAGCCCAAAUGUAUGCAGCUGUGUAGAUGAUAACCUGCUAUCAGUGAUUUUGACCAAUAAUGAAACGGGUCAAAGCAAACCUCUUCAUAAAACACAAUACACACCGAGUGUGCCUUAUGCAGACAAAACAACCACAUUGUGCGGUAGUGAACAAUAUUCAACGCUUUUGGAGCCCGAAAUUUCCGGUAGUUCAGUAUUAAAAAAUCAGUCGUCAAAGCAAACCACACUGAAUCAAGAGAAAAUAGAACGAACAAAAACAAACUCGGAAAUUCAGAUGGAGCACCGUUUACUCGAUCAAGAUGAUUUGGUUCCCGAUAAACUAAAAUCAAAUUUAUGCCAAUCACUUCAUACAAUUAAUAGCUACAGCCAAGAGCACAGAGAUGACUCAUCCUCACAUAUUACAUUUCAGAUAAUCAACUGUCUCUCUAUUAAGCCAUUUCCUAAUGAUGGGUUUCCCAACGUAAUUUGUCGUGAAUGCCGAGCCAAAUUGGAUUCAUUUGGAAAAUUUCGUACUAUGGCACAUAACUCUCACAACGCUUUAAAAGAAUUUUUAACUAUAUCCGAAACCCUAAAACUAGACACUAACGAUUUGGAAAUGCAGCUUGAUACAGUUUUAAAGUCUUCGUCGGAGGCAAUAGCAGCUAAGGCCCUGACUGAGCUCAGCACUUUUUCUCAACAUAAGUACGACAAAAAGAAAGUAGAUUCCACUUUUCAGACAACUUUUGAUCGAAGUUUUGAGAGUAGAACUCAAGAUAUGCAAACCCAUACCCAUAUAUUACAUCCGAGUCUUUUUCAAUCAACCAAUAUGGAAAGUGAUGAGAUUAAAACGCAAGCAAAAUGUAUGUCUGGGCCACCAAUACAUGACCGAUUCGACUCAACAUUUCACAAAGAUUCUGACAUUGAACAGUUUCAAAGCUUGCAACAGCAACUGGAGACUGCAGCAGUUCUUAUGGAUAUAAGUAAAAAAAUUGUAAUUUCACCUCCGUGCUCGAAUCCUCAAUCUCCACGUAGCUCUGCAGUUAUUGAUACAAGUAUUAAAAGUUCUGUGAUAAAAUCAAAACGUCCAUCAAAAAAGAAUGCUUUGUAUGAAGGAGUUGAAAUUGACCUUUCCGUUAAAAAGAAAAGGAAUGAUUAUUCGAAUCAAAGAAACUCAAUCCCAAUAAACAAUUUUUGCCAAACUCCAAUACAGUCACAUAGAAGUGAAGAGGAUCUUCAGAACUACAGUAUUACCAUUACCCAACGUGCUGGGUCAGAUUACAAACAUACACCAACAGUAAAAACGAAUAGCAGUUCCUUAUUAGAUUCUGGUGACAGUUCUGACUCUCACAAAUUGGAAAUGGACAUAACAUCUUCAAUCAACGAUAGAAAGACCCCCGACAGUGUGAGCUCGGAUCACGCAACCGACGCAGCUACCACUCAACUCUGGCAAGCUCUGGCACGAUCAGCUGCAGUCGUAAAUACUUCCUACUGAGCGAAGGAACUUCACAGUAAACAAAGUGCAAACAGCUGAUGCAAUAUUCAAGGCAAUCCUGUGUAUUUUUCGCGCUGCACAGCAAUUUUGUGCGCUCAACAGCACAUUUGUGUGCUUAGCAGCACCCUAUUUCUGGUCGUCAACUUUUUUUGGAACGACAAUCAACCGGCAUUCAAAGUCAAAGUCGAGAAACCGACCGUGGAAUUAUCGACUACAAUACCCCAGACUCAAAAUAAUGUCAGAAGGCAUGCUUUUUGGACGCUAAAAACAAGGGAGAAGAUGCGAAAGAGAUGCUACGUAACAUAAUGAGUCAGCCUUUCGUAUUUCCAGUGCCG